rnacentral:ncRNA from 13 species
CGCUCAUCCAGAGGGGCAGAGGGACACGGCCCGUUGAAGCCCCGGCAACCCUCCAGUCGGUUCUCGCCAGCGCGAGGCCCCGGCUAGGGAAGGUGCCAAUUCCGUCUCAUGGCGAAGUGCGCCAUGGGGAAGAUGAGGA